rnacentral:lncRNA from 1 species
ACCUGUGCUGGCUGAAGGAAUUUCCUGUGAGACAGGAUCUGGUACACUCGCAACAGAAACCGGUACCAUGCUCUUCAUGGAUAUUGAUGAGGUAUCACACAAAUGCGAACCAGAAACACAGAAUUCUGAGAAGGUGGAUCCAUUACCAUCCUUCAUACUAUCAAAAGCAUGAUCUUUACCUUGAAGUUGAUCAGCAAAAACAGAGUAUUGAGGU